UGAUGGUUGGUAAAGCCAAUAAUUGCU
rnacentral:sRNA from 1 species